GUCCCCUUCGUCUAGAGGCCUAGGACACCGCCCUCUCACGGCGGCAACACCGGUUCGAAUCCGGUAGGGGACGCCA
rnacentral:tRNA from 1 species